rnacentral:rRNA from 1 species
UACGGAGGGGGCGAGCGUUAUCCGGAAUCAUUGGGCGUAAAGCGUACCGAUAGGUGGUUUUACAAGUCAGAGGUGAAAUCCCAAGGCUCAACUUUGGGACUGUCCUUUGAAACUGUACAACUAGAGGGGCAAAGAGGAAGCUGGAACGAACGGUGUAGUAGUGAAAUGCGUUGAUAUCGUUCGGAACACCAAUAGCGUAGGCAGGCUUCUGGGUGCCACCUGACACUGCUAGGACGAAAGCGUGGGGAGCGAAUGGG